rnacentral:rRNA from 1 species
CGCUUGAAGAGCAGCCUGCGGCAGAUUAGCUAGUUGGUAAGGUAAUGGCUUACCAAGGCUACGAUCUGUAACCGACCUGAGAGGGUGGUCGGUCACACUGACACUGAAUAACGGGUCAGACUCCUACGGGAGGCAGCAGUCGGGAAUUUUGGGCAAUGGGCGAAAGCCUGACCCAGCAACGCCGCGUGAAGGAUGAAGUAUUUCGGUAUGUAAACUUCGUAAGAAUAGGAAGAAUAAAUGACGGUACUAUUUGUAAGGUCCGGCUAACUACGUG